rnacentral:snRNA from 1 species
UUUACUUCUCGACCUUUUGGCUAAGAUCAAGUAUAGUAUCUGUUCUUAUUAUUUAAACAAAAAUUUCUUCUAAACUUCAAACAACUUUC